rnacentral:rRNA from 1 species
GACGAACGCUGGCGGCGUGCUUAACACAUGCAAGUCGAACGGGAUUUAGUAGACAGAAGCCUCGGCUAAAGAUUACUAAUGAGAGUGGCGAACGGGUGAGUAACGCGUGAGCAACCUGCCUAUGACAGUGGGAUAGCCUCGGGAAACCGGGAUUAAUACCGCAUAAAAUCGUAGAAACACAUGUUUUAACGGUCAAAGAUUUAUCGGUCAUAGAUGGGCUCGCGUCUGAUUAGCUAGUUGGUGAGAUAACAGCCCACCAAGGCGACGAUCAGUAGCCGGUCUGAGAGGAUGAACGGCCACAUUGGAUCUGAGACACGGUCCAAACUCCUACGGGAGGCAGCAGUGGGGAAUAUUGCACAAUGGGGGAAACCCUGAUGCAGCGACGCCGCGUGAACGAAGAAGGUAUUCGUAUCGUAAAGUUCUGUCCUAUGGGAAGAUAAUGACAGUACCAUAGAAGAAAGCUCCGGCUAAAUACGUG